GUAACACGUAUCCAACCUGCCGUCUACUCUUGGACAGCCUUCUGAAGGAAGAUUAAUACAAGAUGGCAUCAUGAGUCCGCAUGUUCACAUGAUUAAAGGUAUUCCGGUAGACGAUGGGGAUGCGUUCCAUUAGAUAGUAGGCGGGGUAACGGCCCACCUAGUCUUCGAUGGAUAGGGGUUCUGAGAGGAAGGUCCCCCACAUUGGAACUGAGACACGGUCCAAACUCCUACGGGAGGCAGCAUG
rnacentral:rRNA from 1 species